rnacentral:rRNA from 1 species
AUUGAACGCUGGCGGCAGGCCUAACACAUGCAAGUCGAGCGGAACGGCGGACGGGCGAGUAAUGACUAUAUAUCUGCCUGGUCGUGGGGGAUAACGUCCGGAUACGGGCGCUAAUACCGCAUGCUAUCAGCUGAGCCUAGGUCGGAGUAGCUAGUUGGUGGGGUAAAGGCCUACCAAGGCGACGAUCCGUACCUGGUCUGAGAGGAUGAUCAGUCACACUGGGACUGAGACACGGUCCAGACUCCUACGGGAGGCAGCAGUGGGGAAUAUUGGACAAUGGGCGAAAGCCUGAUACAGCCAUGCCGCGUGUGUGAAGAAGGUCUUCGGAUUGUAAAGUACUUUAAGUUGGGAGGCGUUACCAACAGAAUAAGCACCGGCUAACUUCGUGCCAGCAGCCGCGGUAAUAC